GACUCAGUCACAGGAUUCAAAAUGGCAGCAGUGAGCAGUGGGGAGGUUCUGCCAGGUGUUCAGUGCCUCUUCACCCAGGAGGAUACUGGAGUGUUAACUGAGCCUGCAGGAACCGGCUUUUCAUUCCUUUGCACUGUGCAUGGCGUAGUGCAGUGCUGCAGGAACCAGGAACUCAGCAACAGAAGAAGAUGGCACGAUGCAGCUCUUGAUGGAUUCCAAUUAUACAAAGUUGCCAUUUGCCUCCUUGAAUCUAAGGGGGGAUUACUCGACUGAUGAUGCUGACAGAGUGGCACAUUGGCAUGUGAAGAAGGAAGAACCAGGAAAGGGCAUUGGAAUAACAGCUUGAUUCAGCUCAGGGUACAACUCAGACCUGAAAGGUAACAUUUGAUUAUUUAUGUAAAUUAAAGAAUGAAAUCAUAUGUGGAGGAGAGAUACAGGAGGCCAAAUUCAGCCUGGAUACUGAGAGUGCAACUCCAUUGACCUGAAUUUGGCCCAAGAAGUUUAUGAUGGUAAAACACUGCUCUGAGUCAUGUUCACUGAUUGGUAAUUGAUAAGUAGAGUCCUCUGGACCAGUGUACUGAGAUGACAAUUGACUGUGGACCAGAAUUAAGGAGCCUGCCCUUCACUUUCUGCUAUAGUGUUUUGCCUGUGUUAGUCCAUACUCCUGGUGCCUUUGUCUUAAGCACAAUAUUCCACAGCUAUUUUCCCUUUUCCUCCUUUUAAUUUGUUCAGCUCCUCCCUGCCCAUCUGUGUGUUCAUCUUCUCUCUCUCCCUGAGAAUGGGAGGUGCUUCUCUUUCCUCUCCUGGGAGAAAUAGGCCUGUUAACUCUCAAAAUGGUGAACCCGAUGUAGCAGAGGAGGAAGGAACCACUUCAUAGCCAGUGUUGUGUUUCUCUCCCUCUGUGUGCUGAGGGGAAAGUCUUUCUGAUGGGAGAUCUUCAGAGAUCCUGGCUGAAGACAGGUCUUCCUAAUUUGGUCAGCAGUGAUUCAUUGGACUGCACAGAUGGCUGCUCAGGUGACCCUCCCCCUUUCCACUUUUCUCACGGCAAUACACAAGAGGCUCUAGGGACAGAAGCCUGAGCUAAGUAGCCUAUUCAGCAGCCUAUUCUCCUCUUUCUCAGAUUCACCCAAUCCUCAAGGCUGCAGUAGAGGUAGCAGCAAUGCAGUGUUCCAUUGCUAGAAAGACCCCAACAGCAAUAACCUCUGGCUCCUGGCCAUAUGUCCCUCCUGAAGUGUUGAAGUAGGUGAUUCAAGUGGGUUUUAUUCUCCAUUUCCUCCCCUUUCCCCCCAGCAUAAACUGUAACAAUUUCUGGGCCAGAGUCUCAAAUCACUUACUUCAGUGCAAAUCCAGAGGUUUCCCACUACAUCCCAGGAAGGUCUAGGUCGGGGCGGGGAAGCCUACCUACUUCUUUCAAAAAGGCUUUGGCCUGACGAAAGUGCCUGGAGUUGUGCCAGAGCACUUGGAUACUUCUCAUGGCACAUCACAGGUGGAGAAGAAACUCCAAAAGGCUAGUGAACAUAGCAAGAGCCCAGGUGCAUUUAUGUCUAAGGAGCCAACUCCUUCACCUGUGAAGAAGGGGAACUUUGAGCUUGUUGAGGUUGGAUUCUAGUAGAGACUAUUCCCACUGGAGUAUAUUGAAGGAAUGAACAAGAGGGCUAUUAUGCUCCUAGACACUCAACAAGCAGAAGGAGAGAAUGUACAUGUAGCAUUUAAGUGCUUCCCUACCAGUAAGGAAAAGGAACCCCGUGUACCACUGAGCUCAGCUGUUCUGGAAGUGAUAAAAUCAAGAGGCGAAAGCAGCUAAAAUCAGAUGCCUAAGUGGGCAAAUGAGUUUUGGAGGAAAACAAAAUUACUCACUUAUGUCCCUAAUUUCAGUGCAGUAGUUGCUGCAGACAUAAGAUUCAGUAACCACCAUAGAAGCAGUGGUGCAACAAUAGAAAAAUUGUCUGUGUGUUGUGGGCAGAGGGCUGCUGCGUUAAUUCUGAAGCCACACUGAGAUGGACAACAGGGGACAAUGAAAACCUGGGUGCAAGGAGUGGGGAUACAGCCCUUAAUAUCUCCUUGAUGGUUGCACCUAAUCACAGAUCAAGAAAAAGAGAGGUUACUAAGCACUCAGCAUAUAGCAGGGAUCAGCAACCUUUGGCCUGCGGCCUGCCAAGGUAAGCCCCAUGGUGGGCCGGGCCAGUUUGUUUACCUGCCGCGUCUGCUGGUUUGGCUGAUCGCAGCUCCCACUGACCGUGGUUUGCCACUUGAGGCCAAUGGGGGCUGCGGGAAGUGGUGCGGGCUGAGGGAUAUGCUGACUGCCGCUUCCCGCAGCCCCCAUUGGCCUGGAGCGGCAAACCGCAGCCAGUGGGAGCUGCGAUUGGCCGAACAUGUGGACGUGGCAGGUAAACAAACCAGCCCGGCCCACCAAGGGGCUUACCUGCCGUGCCGUGUGCCAAAGGUUGCCGAUCCCUGGCAUAUAGUAACAUUUAGUCACUGCUGGUGGGAUCUUGGUUCAUAGUUCAUAGACUCAGCAGUGUCUGCAGAGGUCCUAACUGGUGCCCAGAGCCAUUCAGCUCUCCCAACUAGCUUUUAAUUUUUCCAAGGUUCUUUGUUAUAUUUCUUUAUAGUCGUGUGUGUCUAUUGUUGUAUGGGAGCAUAUUAGAAUCUACACUUUGCUAUAAAAACAUCCCAGUCACCCCCAUGAUCUCAAAUUUAGAAGUGACUCUAAAGAUAAGUACCUGUAAUAAAAGACAGAAAAUCAACAUGGCUGCUGAUAGAGCUUUGGGAAUUGAAAACAUUUUUGAAAAUAAAAUUGCUCUAAUCC